GACGAACGCUGGCGGCGUGCCUAAUACAUGCAAGUAGAACGCUGAAGGAGGAGCUUGCUUCUCUGGAUGAGUUGCGAACGGGUGAGUAACGCGUAGGUAACCUGCCUGGUAGCGGGGGAUAACUAUUGGAAACGAUAGCUAAUACCGCAUAAUAGCAGUUGUUGCAUGACAACUGUUUGAAAGGUGCAAUUGCACCACUACCAGAUGGACCUGCGUUGUAUUAGCUAGUUGGUGGGGUAACGGCUCACCAAGGCGACGAUACAUAUCCGACCUGAGAGGGUGAUCGGCCACACUGGGACUGAGACACGGCCCAGACUCCUACGGGAGGCAGCAGUAGGGAAUCUUCGGCAAUGGACGGAAGUCUGACCGAGCAACGCCGCGUGAGUGAAGAAGGUUUUCGGAUCGUAAAGCUCUGUUGUAAGAGAAGAACGAGUGUGAGAGUGGAAAGUUCACACUGUGACGGUAUCUUACCAGAAAGGGACGGCUAACUACGUG
rnacentral:rRNA from 1 species